GCAUCUAAGCACGAAACUUGCCCCGAGAUGAGUUCUCCCUGAGACUUUAAGUCUCCUGAAGGAACGUUGAAGACGACGACGUUGAUAGGCCGGGUGUGUAAGCGCAGCGAUGCGUUGAGCUAACCGGUACUAAUGAACCGUGAGGCUUAACCUUACAACGCCGAAG
rnacentral:rRNA from 1 species